AUGAUUCCUUUGGAAUUACGACCUUUACCACAAUGGUGCCGUCCAUGGAUCAAAUUAUUUCGUGGAUUGGAUUUCACUUGCCUGUCUACGGUUCCAUUGCGAGGAAGAAGUCGAGAUAGAAGAAAAAUUCCCGUAGCAACCAUAGUUGCUGCGUGUAUAAGAGCCGAAAUAGGAGUGGGUCCUUCCAUAGCAUCGGUAGUUGCUCUUAGCGGCGUGGCGGACCAACCGUGUGGCGUGCGAAGUGGCUUCGCUCGUGUGGGCGAUGGAGGCCAUUCCGCGCGGGCACUAGGUCUAAGAGGACGGCGUUGUCCUCAGUGUGUGACCUCUUUGUGGAAGCUGUUCGCUCCCCACUAG
rnacentral:rRNA from 1 species